GCGUCGUUGUAGUAGUGGUUAACUGGUCUGCUUCCCAUUUGUAAUUAUCUUGAGUGGUUACGGGUUCACCAAGCAGGAGACGUGGGUUCGAACCCCACACGACGCA